AUGAGGUUCCCUUCUCAGCUCCUAGGGUUGCUGAUGCUCUGGGUCCCAGGAUCCAGUGGGGAGGCCGUGCUGACACAGACCACCCCACUCACCCUGUCUGUCACCUCCGGAGAGCCGGCCUCCAACUCCUGCAGGGCCAGUCAGAGCCUUGUACACAGUAAUGGAAACACCUCUUUAAAUUGGUACCUGCAGAAGCCAGGCCAGUCACCACAGAUCCUGAUCUACUUGGUUUCCAGCCGUGUCUCUGGAAUCCCAGACAGGUUCAGUGGCAGUGGGUCAGGGACAGAUUUCACCCUGACAAUCAGCAGGGUGGAGGCUGGCGAUGUGGGAGUUUAUUACUGUCAGCAAGGUACCAAAUUCCUUCUCACCAUUUCUCAAGGGAAAAAGAUCUCCAGGGUUCAGAAAGUGGCUUCCUAG